GACGAACGCUGGCGGCGUGCUUAACACAUGCAAGUCGAACGGAAAGGCCCUGCUUUUGUGGGGUGCUCGAGUGGCGAACGGGUGAGUAACACGUGAGUAACCUGCCCUUGACUUUGGGAUAACUUCAGGAAACUGGGGCUAAUACCGGAUAGGAGCUCCUGCUGCAUGGUGGGGGUUGGAAAGUUUCGGCGGUUGGGGAUGGACUCGCGGCUUAUCAGCUUGUUGGUGGGGUAGUGGCUUACCAAGGCUUUGACGGGUAGCCGGCCUGAGAGGGUGACCGGGGACAAGGGUACUAAGAGACGGCGCAGAAUGGAAGCGGCGGCAACGGGGGGGAGCCUGACGGAGUGGGGGGGAGCGAGAUGCGAAGACGUCGGGUGCGGGAGGACGGGUUUGGGGUGGAAAACAAAUGUGUACUGUAACGAGGAGGGAGUGACGGUAAUGGGUAAAAAAGCACCGGCUAACUACGUG
rnacentral:rRNA from 1 species